rnacentral:rRNA from 1 species
AUCUUUAAGGACAAGUUGUGAUGGGGAGGGAAAUAAUAGUACCGAAGUUCCUGAUGUCACACUGCCGAGAAAAGCUUCUAGUGAGAAAACAAUGGCCCGUACCGCAAACCGACACAGGUAGUCGAGGAGAGAAUCCUAAGGUGAGCGAGAGAACUCUCGUUAAGGAACUCGGCAAAAUGGGGGGGGAACUUCCGGAGAAGGGGUGCUGAUCUAACGAUCAGCCGCAGUGAAUAGGCCCAAGCGACUGUUUAUCAAAAACACAGGUCUCUGCAAAAUCGAAAGAUGACGUAUAGGGGCUGACGCCUGCCCGGUGCUGGAAGGUUAAGAGGAGUGCUUAGCGUAAGCGAAGGUACGAAUUGAAGCCCCAGUAAACGGCGGCCGUAACUAUAACGGUCCUAAGGUAGCGAAAUUCCUUGUCGGGUAAGUUCCGACCCGCACGAAAGGCGUAACGAUUUGGGCACUGUCUCAACGAGAGACUCGGUGAAAUUUUAGUACCUGUGAAGAUGCAGGUUACCCGCGACAGGACGGAAAGACCCCAUGGAGCUUUACUGCAGUUUGAUAUUGAGUGUUUGUACCACAUGUACAGGAUAGGUAGGAGCCGUANAAGUCGGGACGCUAGUUUCGACAGAGGCGCUGGUGGGAUACUACCCUUGUGUUAUGACCACUCUAACCCGCACCACUAAUCGUGGUGGGAGACAGUGUCAGAUGGGCAGUUUGACUGGGGGCGGUCGCCUCCUAAAGAGUAACGGAGGCGCCCAAAGGUCCCUCAGAAGGGUGGAAAUCAUUCGCAGAGUGUAAGGCACAAGGGAGCUUGACUGCCAGAACCUACAGUCCAACAGGGACGAAAGUCGGGCUAGUGAUCCCGUGGGUUCCCCAGGAAGGGGCAUCCCUCAACGGAUAAAAGCUACCCUGGGGAUAACAGGCUUAUCCCCCCCAGAAUCCCAUCCAACGGGAAAGUUGGGACCCUCCAUGCCGGUCCCCCCACCCGGGGCUUUACUCGGCCCCAGGGUUGGGCUUUCCCCCCUUUAAAGCGGCCCCGGCUGGGUUCA